rnacentral:rRNA from 1 species
AUUGAACGAUGGCAGCAGGUCUAACACAUGAAAGUAGAGCGGAGCGGCGGACGGGCGAGUAAUGCCUAGUAACCUGCCUGGUAGUGGGGGAUAACGUCCGGAAAUGGGUGAUAAUAACGCAUAGUAACAGAUGAGCAUAGGUCGGAUUAGCUAGGUGUGGGGGUAAAGGCCUACCAAGGAGAAGACACGUAACUGGUCUGGGAGGAUUAUCAGUCACACUUGAACUGAGACACGGUCCAGACUCCUACGGUAGGCAGCAGUGGGGAAUAUUGCACAAUGGGCGAAAGCCUGAUCCAGCCAUGCCGCGUGUGUGAAGAAGGUCUUCGGAUUGUAAUGCACUUUAAGUUGGGAGGCGUUACCAACAGAAUAAGCACCGGCUAACUUCGUGCCAGCAGCCGCGGUAAUAC